AAAUAUAAAGAUUUUAAAUGAAGUACUACCAAGCAACACUGAAGAUUAUGAUAGUUUUACUAAUUCACAAAAGAACUCCCAGACCACAAACUCCCAGACUUCUAAUUGGAGUGAUUGUAGUGAACUUGCACUGGAGAAAGUUAAUGUGGUAAUGGAAUCAAUCAAUGUGAGCCCCUUACCUUCUACACUUCAAAACGAUGUUAAAGAUGUAAAAGAUUCAACAAUCAGGUAUUACAAGCGGAAAGCACAUGAAUCUAUUGAUUCAUUGUUGGAUUUUAUGGCUCCAAAACAAGGACACUUACUUAAAGAUGAAGUUUUAACUAAAAACAGAGACAAAUCUUUACCAACAGACAGUGAUAUGAUAGAAGAUCUAUCAAAACUCUACAUGGAAACAGUGGACAAUUCCUUAAAAAUGCAAAUUCUAUCUGUUAUCACAAAUAGACUAACCAAAGCAGAACUUCAAAUAGCAAUACCAGGUAUAACAAUGUAUCGUAUAGACCAGACACGACUUCAUUUCAAUACCUCUACAAAUUUGGGUCUACAAGUCAAAAAUAAAAUAAAAGUACCACGUCAAAGAAUGGAUGAUAGCAAGCUGGAACAUGCCAUAAGUUUUUUUUUUGACACUUCAUUUAUGCAGCUAGUAUCCUAUGGUACAAGAGAUUUGAAAUUGGAUUCAGGGGAAAAUAUUACUAUACCAGAUGUAAUCAGAACAACAAAUCACUCCAAAAUUAUAGACCUGUACUUUUCAUACUGCACAGAAUCAAAUUUUGAACCACUUUCUAAAUAAACUUUAUUUAAAAUUCUAAAUACUUGUGCUGCUACUAAAUGCACCAAUUUACACGGUUUAGACAAUAUUGCAGCUGAGGGAAUUGAAGGUUUUGAAUCACUAAAAGAAAUUACAAAACAGAUUUAUGAAAGAUCCAUUCUAUCAACUGAAGAACAUGAACAGAUACAAAAAAUAUCACAUCAGCAAAACUUUAUUUCAAAACCGAUUAUAAACUUCAUCUGGAAAAAGACUGCCUGUGUGCUGACCAUUGUCUUCAAUGGCUUUUGAGUGACCCUGAAAACUGUCAUUUUCAAAGUCCCUGUGAGCACAUUCAUACAUUAGUGUGUGAUAGGUGUGAAAUGUUACAUGGCAUAGAGCAUGAUGUGUUCAAAGGUAUUGGUAAGAUGGGAGAUCAUGACUUCAAAGAGGAUACCACCAAAAACUUCCAGGAUGCAUUACAGAAAAUCAAUGACUAGAAAGCUCAUAUUGCUAGAAAUGUUAAUCAAGAUCUUUUUAGAAUUCAAAAGCUGGAUAAUUUAAAGCGAUUUGAAGGAGUUUUAGUGAUGGACUGGGCCAUGAAAUUUCUACCAAUGAGAUACAGAGAGAAACAAACAGAUUGGUUUGGCCAAAGGGGAAAACAUUGGCAUGUCAGUGUCUGCAUUUAUAGAGAUGAAAGUGGUGAAAUUGGGCAUAGGACAUUUACUCAUGUUCUUGAGAAUGUUAAACAAGAUUGGUUUGCAGUGGCAUCACUGUUGGAACACGUGCUGCAAACAGUUAAAAUCCAACUACCUCAGGUGACAGAUAUGUUUCUUCGCUCUGAUAAUGCAGGCUGCUACCAUU